GUGAGGAAUUUUCCGCAAUGGGCGAAAGCCUGACGGAGCAAUGCCGCGUGAAGGAUGAAGGCCUAUGGGUUGUAAACUUCUUUUCUCAGAAAAGAAUUAUGACGGUAUCUGAGGAAUAAGCAUCGGCUAACUCUGUGCCAGCAGCCGCGGUAAGACAGAGGAUGCAAGCGUUAUCCGGAAUGAUUGGGCGUAAAGCGUCUGUAGGUUGUUUAAAAAGUAUUCUGUCAAAGAUUAGGGCUUAACCCUAGAUAGGCAGAAUAAACUUUUAAGCUAGAGUUUUGUAGAGGCAGAGGGAAUUCCCGGUGGAGCGGUGAAAUGCGUAGAUAUCGGGAGGAACACCAAAGGCGAAGGCACUCUGCUGGGCCAAUACUAACACUGAGAGACGAAAGCGAGGGGAGCAAAUGGGAUUAGAUACCCCUGUAGUCC
rnacentral:rRNA from 1 species